GAUGAACGCUAGCGGCAGGCUUAACACAUGCAAGUCGAGGGGUAACAUUGUUGCUUGCAACAGAUGACGACCGGCGCACGGGUGCGUAACGCGUAUAGAACUUACCUUUUACAGGGGGAUAGCCUUUAGAAAUGAAGAUUAAUAUCCCAUAAUAUUGAGAAUUGGCAUCAAUUUUUAAUUAAAGAUUUAUCGGUAAAAGAUAGCUAUGCGUCCUAUUAGCUAGAUGGUAAGGUAAUGGCUUACCAUGGCAACGAUAGGUAGGGGUCCUGAGAGGGAGAUCCCCCACACUGGUACUGAGACACGGACCAGACUCCUACGGGAGGCAGCAGUGAGGAAUAUUGGGCAAUGGAGGCAACUCUGACCCAGCCAUGCCGCGUGCAGGAGACUGCCCUAU
rnacentral:rRNA from 1 species